rnacentral:rRNA from 1 species
AGUUCGAUCCUGGCUCAGGAUGAACGCUGGCGGCAUGCCUAAUACAUGCAAGUCGAACGGAGUGAAGCCUUCGGGUUUCAUUCAGUGGCGAACGGGUGAGUAAUACGCAGGGAACCUGGCCAUGGCAGGGGGAUACACUCUGGAAACGGAGCAUAAGACCCCAUAGGCAGUAAGGCGGCAUCGCCUUACUGUUAAAGAAAGCUGAAAGGCUUUGGCGAUGGAUGGACCUGCGGUGCAUUAGCUUGUUGGUGAGGCAACGGCUUACCAAGGCGAUGAUGCAUAGCCGGCCUGAGAGGGCGGACGGCCACACUGGGACUGAGACACGGCCCAGACUCCUGCGGGAGGCAGCAGUAGGGAAUUUUCGUCAAUGGGCGCAAGCCUGAACGAGCAAUGCCGCGUGAGUGAGGAAGGUCUUCGGACUGUAAAGCUCUGUUGCCGGGGAAAAAGGGGAAAUGCAGGAAAUGGCAUUUCAUGGAUGGUACCCGGCCAGAAAGCCACGGCUAACUACGUGCCAGCAGCCGCGGUAAUACGUAGGUGGCGAGCGUUAUCCGGAAUGAUUGGGCGUAAAGGGUGCGCAGGCGGUCUGUUAAGUCUGAAGGCAAAGGGAUGAGCUCAACUCAUUUAUGAUUCAGAAACUGGCAGACUUGAGGACAGGAGAGGGCGGUGGAACUCCAUGUGUAGCGGUAAAAUGCGCAGAGAUAUGGAAGAACACCAGUGGCGAAGGCGGCCGCCUGGCCUGUGACUGACGCUGAGGCACGAAAGCGUGGGGAGCAAAUAGGAUUAGAUACCCUAGUAGUCCACGCCGUAAACGAUGAGGAGCAGGUGUUGGGAGUGAAAUCUCAGUGCCGAAGCCAACGCAGUGACUCCUCCGCCUGGGGAGUAUGCACGCAAGUGUGAAACUCAAAGGAAUUGACGGGGGCCCGCACAAGCGGUGGAGUAUGUGGUUUAAUUCGAAGCAACGCGAAGAACCUUACCAGGUUUUGACAUCGGAUGCGAAGGCGCAGAGAUGCGCUGGAGGCUAUCAUCCAGACAGGUGGUGCAUGGUUGUCGUCAGCUCGUGUCGUGAGAUGUUCAGUUAAGUCUGGCAACGAGCGCAACCCCCGUGGUAUGUUACUAACGCUUUAGGGCGAGGACUCAUAUCAGACUGCCGGUGACAAACCGGAGGAAGGCGGGGAUGACGUCAAAUCAUCAUGCCCCUUAUGACCUGGGCUACACACGUACUACAAUGGCGUCUACAGAGGGAAGCGACCCUGAGAAGGGAAGCGAAACCGGAAAAGGGCGUCCCAGUUCGGAUUGAAGUCUGCAACCCGACUUCAUGAAGAUGGAAUCGCUAGUAAUCGCGGAUCAGCAUGCCGCGGUGAAUACGUUCCCGGGCCUUGUACACACCGCCCGUCAAACCAUGGAAGCCGGCAACGCCCGAAGCCGGUGGCAUAACCUUUUAGGAGUGAGCCGUCGAAGGCGGGGCCGAUGACUGGGGUUAAGUCGUAACAAGGUAUCC